rnacentral:rRNA from 1 species
AACAGGGGUUGCCAGUAACGGCGAGUGAAGCGGCAACAGCCCAGAUUUGAAAUCUGGCCUUGGUGCCCGAGUUGUAAUCUGGAGAUGGGUUUUCCAGCGACGCGUGCGCCAGUAUUGGAAUGGGAUGCCGUAGAGGGAUGCCGUAGAGGGUGAGAGCCCCGUACUGGCGCGACUAGCUUCUUUGUUGCCCAUUCGACGAGUCGAGUAGUUUGGAAAUGCUGCUCUAAUCGUGGGGUAAAUCUCCCAUAAGGCUAAAUAUCGGCCGGAGACCGAUAGCGCACAAGUACCGUGAGCGAAAGAUGAAAAGAGCCUUGGAUAAGGGCGUCAAAAAGCAUGUGAAAUUGUUGUGGGGGAAGCGCUCGUCGCCAGUCGUGUCGGCGGCUGAUUUGCCGGCGUUCUCGCGGGUGCCCUCUGCCCGCCGCCAGGCCAGCACCGGCUCGGCCUCUGUCCCAAUGCACGCGGGAACGUAGCUCCCCACGGGGAGUGUUAUAGCCCACGUGCGACGCCCUGGGCCGGGCCGAGGAUCGCGCAUCUGCUCGGAUGCUGGCUUAAUGGCGCCUAGCGACCCGUCUUGAAACACGGACCAAGGAGUUGCCCUGGCGCGCGAGUGUUCGGGUGUAAAGCCCCUACGCGCAGUGAAAGCGAACGCAGGUGGGAGUCCUUUAGGAUGCACCAUCGACCGAUCCUGAAGCUUGCAGAUGGAUUUGAGUAGGAGCGCGCCGGGUCUGACCCGAAAGAAGGUGAACUAUGCAUGAAAGGGUGAAGCCAGAGGAAACUCUGGUGGAGGCUCGCAGCGGUUCUGACGUGCAAAUCGAUCGUCAAAUUUGUGCAUGGGGGCGAAAGCCCAAUCGAACCUUCUAGUAGCUGGUUCCUGCCGAAGUCUACACC